GCAAAACCACAGAGAGAAGGGAGCAGGCAGCUAGCUGUGCAGCUGGUGAAUCCCUGCCUGCUCCUUGCUUGGAGCCUGCAGUCAUCUGCUCAGGCAGAUUUCCACUUAGCACUCUGAUUUCUGUGUCCAAUCGAUUGGCCACUCUUUGUGCCACGUUAUAGUACAUGACUGAGGCUUGACCUUGAAGCCAGCCAGCCAUGAAAACUUCUGUCUUUCAUUGUCAUUUUGAACUUAGCAAAAGGUUGGCAGAGGAGAAAAAACACCAAAUCAUUUUGCUAAAGUAACAUCAUUAGUGAUGCUACUUCUUUGCAUUAAAUCCUGCACUUAUUAAUAUGAUAAUAGUACCACUCCCUUCCAUUUGUGGAUUAUUUUAUGUUUUACAAAGCACUUUCAAAGUCAUUAUCUUAUUUGGUACUCCAAAUGCAAUUAUGAGAUGAAAGAAGAUUAUUGUCCCCAGGAAACUGAGGCUCGGAUUGGUUUAUGAGCUUGCCUUCCAGAAAUCACCAGGCAGUGGGGAAGAGAAUGGAGAUGGAUGCUCUUUUUCUUGUUAGUGGUGAUAUUGACAGUUCAAUAGACUUGCUGACACCACAGCAAUGUGCCCUGUUCCAGACAGACAUUGUGAUUCCUUACCAAGUAAGAUUCUUGAGGUCUGGCGAGAAUGAUAUGGGUACUAAAGUGCGUAGUUGAGCAUGCACCAAAGUUUAGAAAGGUGUGAAAGUAGUAAAUGAACAAAGCCAACAAAAACCAGCAAAAGCAAACGGAGGGAAAUAAGCUAGAAAGUGUGCUUUCAGUUAUUCUCUCUCUCUCUCUCUCCCUCUUUCUCCCCACCCCCAAACGCUGUUUAGUUUUUCCCUAGUGAAGCUCACAUUCCACAGGGAGGAAUUUACAAAGGCCAUCCAGGGAAGAGUCUGCAGGCAGUGCUUGUUGGAUUUACUCCUGGAAGGUCACCUCCAGGUCACCCUACCUGUCUGCUUCCUUUGGACAGGCUUUCCAAGUCCCUGCCUGUGACAAGGUAGAAUGCAGACACGUGGCUAACCACAACUCAAUUAUCUGCAAACCUUAUUUAGGCUCCAGUUCCAUGUGCUUGGGGUUGCCAU
rnacentral:lncRNA from 1 species